UGCAGUCGACGAUGAAGCCCAGCUUGCUGGGUGGAUUAGUGGCGAACGGGUGAGUAACACGUGAGUAACCUGCCCUUGACUCUGGGAUAAGCACUGGAAACGGUGUCUAAUACCGGAUAUUUCAGCUGGCCGCAUGGUCUGGUUGUGGAAAGAAUUUUGGUCAAGGAUGGACUCGCGGCCUAUCAGGUAGUUGGUGAGGUAAUGGCUCACCAAGCCUACGACGGGUAGCCGGCCUGAGAGGGUGACCGGCCACACUGGGACUGAGACACGGCCCAGACUCCUACGGGAGGCAGCAGUGGGGAAUAUUGCACAAUGGGCGAAAGCCUGAUGCAGCAACGCCGCGUGAGGGACGACGGCCUUCGGGUUGUAAACCUCUUUUAGUAGGGAAGAAGCGAAAGUGACGGUACCUGCAGAAAAAGCACCGGCUAACUACGUGCCAGCAGCCGCGGUAAUACGUAGGGUGCAAGCGUUGUCCGGAAUUAUUGGGCGUAAAGAGCUCGUAGGCGGUUUGUCGCGUCUGCUGUGAAAACUGGAGGCUCAACCUCCAGCCUGCAGUGGGUACGGGCAGACUAGAGUGCGGUAGGGGAGAUUGGAAUUCCUGGUGUAGCGGUGGAAUGCGCAGAUAUCAGGAGGAACACCGAUGGCGAAGGCAGAUCUCUGGGCCGUAACUGACGCUGAGGAGCGAAAGCAUGGGGAGCGAACAGGAUUAGAUACCCUGGUAGUCCAUGCCGUAAACGUUGGGAACUAGAUGUGGGGGCCAUUCCACGGUCUCCGUGUCGCAGCUAACGCAUUAAGUUCCCCGCCUGGGGAGUACGGCCGCAAGGCUAAAACUCAAAGGAAUUGACGGGGGCCCGCACAAGCGGCGGAGCAUGCGGAUUAAUUCGAUGCAACGCGAAGAACCUUACCAAGGCUUGACAUAUACGAGAACGGGCCAGAAAUGGUCAACUCUUUGGACACUCGUAAACAGGUGGUUGCAUGGUUGUCGUCAGCUCGUGUCGUGAGAUGUUGGGGUUAAGUCCCGCAACGAGCGCAACCCUCGUUCUAUGUUGCCAGC
rnacentral:rRNA from 1 species